ACAUGGACACAUGCUUUGUUUAUUGCCAGUGGUAGGUCAUUGGUAAAAAUAGAAAAAAAAGAGUAGAUGGGCUUUGACAUUAGAGAAGCUUCCAUUAAAGAAAACACUCAGUUCAAUUAGAAAGAUAGCUCUGAAUCCAUGAUAUUGCACAGGUAGAAANNNNNNNNNNGAGCUGGGGCCUUUUAUGGCCCUGCCUCUGGGGGCCUGUCUUCAUGCUGCUCUGGGCUGAUGGCUGUUGGAGAGGGGAGGGGCAGUCGAGUGAGCUGGGGUCUUUUAUGGCCCUGCCUCUGGGAGCCUGUCUUCAUGCUGCUCUGGGCUGAUGGCUGUUGGAGAGGGGAGGGGCAGUCGAGUGAGCUGGGGUCUUUUAUGGCCCUGCCUCUGGGAGCCUGUCCACUUGUGACAUAAUGAGAGUGAAAAAGGAUAUUUUGUGCUACAAACAUACUUCAAUUUUUUUUUUGACCAUUCAGGGAUCUACUAUCAAACAGUCAUGAAAUCAUAAAAAAAAAUGUAUGUCUACCCUAUAGAAUGUGAAUUUGCCCUCCCAGGCCCACCCAUGGCUACGCCCCUACCCAGUCAUGUGAAAUCCAUAGAAUAGGGCCUAAUGAAUUUAUUUCAGCUGACUGAUUUCCUUAUAUGAACUAUAACUCAGUAAAAUCAUUGACAUUUCUGGUUUAUAUCUUUGUUCAGUAUAUGCGUUUUGACCAUGACAGUUUACAAUCUAAAGUAAAACCAGUCAUUUAGUAUCCUCAAGUUGUUCAACAGCCACACCAAUCAUUACCAGAUUCCACUGAGGUCUAAAAAUCAGUGAAUGAUUUGUACCAAAUACAAUGCUCUUCGUUUUAGAGAUGUUCAGGACCAGUUUAUUACUGGCCACCCAUUCCAAAACAGACUGCAACUCUAUGUUAAGGGUUUCAGUGACUUCAUUAGGUGUGGUUGCUGAUGUGUAUCUGGUUAAAUAAUCAGCAUACAUGGACACAUGCUUUGUUUAUUGCCAGUGGUAGGUCAUUGGUAAAAAUAGAAAAAAAAGAGUAGAUGGGCUUUGACAUUAGAGAAGCUUCCAUUAAAGAAAACACUCAGUUCAAUUAGAAAGAUAGCUCUGAAUCCAUGAUAUUGCACAGGUAGAAAAGCUUUUUAAAAAAACACAUUCCAAACAACCGGUUAUGGUCAAUAAUCAUCAGUCAUUUGUGUCAAUACCGUACAUGUUGAGUGCCCUUCUCUACAAGCUUGCUGAAAGUCUGUAGUUAAUUAGUUUACAGAGAAAUAUAAUUAUAUUUGGUCAAACACACGCAAGCUGAUAAGUCUGCUGUUAGAACAAGUGACUUUAGCUUCCCUCCAGCCCUGAGGACAAAGACUUUCCUCUAGGCUCAGCUAAACCUUAUGACAGACAGGAGUGGCAAUAGAGUCAGCAACCAUCCUCAGUAUCUUUCCAUCUACGUUGUCAUUAUUGAUCAAUAAUAAUUUUCCCAAGACUCCCAUACUUACUUUACAAAAUUCAACUUUCAAUGCUUUUCUUACAUUAUUUGUUUUUCCUUUUAUGCAUGAGUACAAUGGCUCACUGUUGGCAUUUCCUGCCUAAGUUUUCCCACAAUGAAAUAAUCAUUAAAAUAAUUGGCCACAUCAAAUGGUUAUGUGAUGAAUAAACAAUCUGAUUCAAUGAAAGAUGGAGUUGAACUGGUCUUUCUGCCCAUAAUAUAAUUUAAAGUAGUUAACAUCAUUCUUUAUAUCAUUGAUAUUGGCUUCAUAAAACAGUUUAUUCUUCUUUUUGUUGAGUUUAGUCACAUUUCUCAAUUUGCCAGUUAGAUCUGCAACCAGACUUAAUAGCCACUCCUUUUGCCCCAUCUCUUUCAACCAUACACUUUUUCAAUUCCUCAUCAAUCCAUGGAGCCUUAACAGUUCUAACAGUCAGUUUCUUAACAGGUGCAUGUUUAUCAAUAAUUGAAAGAAGCAAUUUCAUAAUUUCAUCAAGUGCAGUGUCUGGAUGCUCCUCAUUAAUCACAUCAGACCAACAAAUAUUUUUAACAUCAUCCACAUAAGAGUCACAGCAAACUCUUUUGUAUGAUCUCUUACACACUAUUUUAGGCCCAGCUGUUGGAACUUUGGCUUUCCUGUAUAUAGCCACUAUAUUUGAUCACUGCAUCCAAUGGGUACAGAUACAGCUUUAGAACAAAGUUCUAAAGUAUUAGUAAAAAUGUGAUCAAUACAUGUUAAUGAUAUUGUCCCUGUAGUGUUUGUAAACCCCCUGGUAGGUUGAUUAAUAACCUGAACCAGAUUACAGGCACUGGUUACACUGAGAAGUUUCCUCUUGAGCGGACUGUCAAUAUUCAGGUCCCCAAGAAAGUAGAACUCUCUGUUUACAUCACAUAUAUUAUCAAGCAUUUCACACAUAUUAUUUAGAUACAGACUGUUAUAAAAAAAAGCAACCAAAGCAAGAGAAAAACAUAUACAUUCCAUUAAUCAGUUGGUGUGUGUAAGUGUGUUUGUGUGACUGUGUGUGUGUGCGCUGC
rnacentral:lncRNA from 13 species